GGCCAUAUGUUUAAACACCGGUUCUCGUACGAUCCCAGAAGUUAAGCAACGUCGAGCCUGAUCAGUACCUAGAUUUGUGACUAUUUGGGAAUACCAAGA